rnacentral:rRNA from 1 species
AAAACAACUCUCAGCAACGGAUAUCUUGGCUCUUGCAACGAUGAAGAACGCAGCGAAAUGCGAUACGUAGUGUGAAUUGCAGAAUUCCGCGAAUCAUCGAGU